rnacentral:rRNA from 1 species
GGCUUAACCUGCAACCCAAUGUUUAAACAACCUUGUUUCUUUGGCGGGCUCGCCCGUCAGAAGAACCCUUAAACUCAUUAUAAAUUUGUCUUCUGAAUCAAAAUUUUAAUAAAAUUAAAACUUUCAACAACGGAUCUCUUGGUUCUGGCAUCGAUGAAGAACGCAGCGAAAUGCGAUAAGUAAUGUGAAUUGCAGAAUUCAGUGAAUCAUCGAAUCUUUGAACGCAUAUUGCGCCCUUUGGUAUUCCGAAGGGCAUGCCUGUUCGAGCGUCAUUACACCCCUCAAACUUCACUGUUUGUUGUUGGGUACUGCCUGUGGGCAUACCUAAAAGCUAGCGACGGUUCAAGCCAACCUCAGACGUACAAGUAUCGUUAUAGGGGACGGUUGGGGCCUGUCUUUAACUAAACUAUCUAAAUGUUGACCUCGGAUCAGGUAGGA